GUCACUUCUCCUCUAGCUGUGAGAAUGACUUAUUGAUACAGAUAAACUACAGUUUCUCCAUUGAUAACAAAUCAAACGAUAAAAUUGAAUCAAUGUUCAUAAAACACCGAUCCAAAUCUCAUGUGCUAAAGCUUAGAAUGAAGAAACAGCUUAAGCAAACAAUGAGUUCAAGAAUUCCAUAGAAUUCAGAGAACAAACCAAGAAUCGGAGAAGAAGAAGAUUACAAUUUGACACAAAUUUCAUGAAUGAUCCCCAAAUCUGUUUUUGCUUCCUUUUAACGCAUCUUUCUUCAUAAUCUUGAGCUCCAAUGAUCUCAGCCGUUGAUCCAAACUUCUAAUCUACACCUUACACGUGUCCAUUACUCCUUUCUCUUUUCCUAUAUCAAAUCCUCCUUCUCCAAACAACCAUGCCCACAUGGUUGAAAAGAAAGAUAUUGCUGCAACACAUCAUAUAAAAUUUCCCCAGUAGUCUCAGCUUUAUCCAUAUUUGAUCACUUAACCAGAACUGGAACUUCAUUGUAACUUCAGUUUUCAUGAACCAAGUAGUCUCAUCUUUCCAUAUUUGACCAUCUAACCAUAUCCACAACUUCAGCCUAAAAGAGAAAUUCAUGAAUAUUGAACCUCCAGGAUCCCAAACUCGGUUAUUAAUGUCCCAGCUCUUAAUCUCUGACCCAUAAGCACCAAUAGUCUGACCCGAAGUACAUCUCCGAAGCAUCUCAACAAAUUCUUUAUCAACUUCAGCCUUCCCCAUAAACAGCCAUUUCUUCUGUCUUUUCUUAUACGUAAACAACUUCACGUUGCAUAUAAACUUGUUUUUGUAGUGAAAUUUCCAGAACUUACCACACUUCAACUUCUUCUUAGAACUAGCAUCCUCCCACAAGAACUUGAUGUAUCUCAAUGUGCUGUCCUUUGAGAUUUUAAAUUUGAACUUCCAUGAUUUAGGAUACUUGCUAGGCUUCUUCUGUUGAUGUAAUGUGUGGUUCCUUAGGAGUUUUCCAUCGACUUCUUGGCAUGCAUAAGAAUCGCUACCUUCAUCAAUUGCAGUAUGAAAACUUUGAAUGUCCUUUGAUUCAGCAUUUAAGAUCUUUGGCAUCUCUUGAAAAUUUCCAACAACUACUAGACUUGCAAAGUUCUGGACACAAAAACUAUCACUUCCACCACCAGAUUGUAAAUCAUCAACCACAAAUCCAAUUGGUGACAUCAAUUGGUUCAUUGUUGCAUUAGCUUUAUCAAAGUCCUCAAAGGUUGAAUUAACUUUUUGAGGUUGUGAGGCACAUUCUAAGCAGCCUUUUACUUCCCCUUUGUUUCUUGUAUCCAUCUUGCUUUUCUCUUGAUUCACCGAUUCUGUCUUCAAAUUCCCAUAAGGAGCACACCAACGAGCACUUUCUAAGAUAAAAUCUCUGUCACAUUUCCACUCUUCUUGCUGUAAGAAGUUCUCCAUUCCCGCAGAAAUCUCUUGCUGAAUUGAGUGUUUCCCCUCAAAGCAUUCCCUACCCUUACGUAAGGCAUUAGGCCCGUGAAUGUUAAUCAAAGGUCCUGCAUCUUCACUUGAAAAAUUUAAAGGCUGAGCUCCUUUCAGAUAAUCAUCAUUCCCUUUUAUGAUAUUCACUCUUGGCGGAUGCGCAUACUCAUAUAAUCGUCCCAGACUUAAACAUUGUUGAAUCGUCUGAGGUUGAAACAUCCUAACAUUCACUUGAGUAUCAUUUUCCAGUCCUGUCAAAUACAGAUUUACCAAGUAAUCGUCAUCUAACUUCACUCUAGUGCUAAUCGACUCGAAACGAGCAUGAUACACCUCAAUUCCUUCAGUCUCCUGCAACAGUUUCAGUUUUGCAAUCGAAUCUUCCACAUGCUUAUUAUAUCUCACUUGCAACAGCAGUUUGUAACUCCGCCAAUCAUGCCUAACAUGCUUCCACCACAUUGAUUGUACAAUUGAUUGGUGCAAAGUCGCAGCAAUAUCAUCGAAAUGGAUUGAAGCGAUACCAACUUUCAAUUCCUCCGGAGUACGAUCAAUUAAGAAGAAUUGUUCAAUCUGAAACAACCAAUCCAUGAUUUUAUCACCAUGAAAUCGUGGAAAAUCAACUGUCUCUAACCUUUUAGGAUCUACGUAUCUCGAACACGAUCGAAACCACAUCUCUGCUACCGUUUCACGAACCACAGCGGUCGCUUCUCGAGCCACCGUCUCCUUGAUUGGAGCUUGCGAUCUUGACUCCGCCAUGGAUUCCGAGAAUCUGCUGGCUCUGAUACCUUUGAUACAGAUAAACUACAGUUUCUCCAUUGAUAACAAAUCAAACGAUAAAAUUGAAUCAAUGUUCAUAAAACACCGAUCCAAAUCUCAUGUGCUAAAGCUUAGAAUGAAGAAACAGCUUAAGCAAACAAUGAGUUCAAGAAUUCCAUAGAAUUCAGAGAACAAACCAAGAAUCGGAGAAGAAGAAGAUUACAAUUUGACACAAAUUUCAUGAAUGAUCCCCAAAUCUGUUUUUGCUUCCUUUUAACGCAUCUUUCUUCAUAAUCUUGAGCUCCAAUGAUCUCAGCCGUUGAUCCAAACUUCUAAUCUACACCUUACACGUGUCCAUUACUCCUUUCUCUUUUCCUAUAUCA
rnacentral:lncRNA from 1 species